GAUGAACGCUGGCAGCGUGCUUAACACAUGCAAGUCGAACGGAAAGGCCCAAGCUUGCUUGGGUACUCGAGUGGCGAACGGGUGAGUAACACGUGGGUGAUCUGCCCUGCACUUCGGGAUAAGCCUGGGAAACUGGGUCUAAUACCGGAUAGGACGAUGGUUUGGAUGCCAUUGUGGAAAGUUUUUUCGGUGUGGGAUGAGCUCGCGGCCUAUCAGCUUGUUGGUGGGGUAAUGGCCUACCAAGGCGUCGACGGGUAGCCGGCCUGAGAGGGUGUACGGCCACAUUGGGACUGAGAUACGGCCCAGACUCCUACGGGAGGCAGCAGUGGGGAAUAUUGCACAAUGGGCGCAAGCCUGAUGCAGCGACGCCGCGUGGGGGAUGACGGCCUUCGGGUUGUAAACUCCUUUCGCUAGGGACGAAGCGUUUUUGUGACGGUACCUGGAGAAGAAGCACCGGCUAACUACGUG
rnacentral:rRNA from 1 species